AAUGAACGUUGGCGGCAUGGAUUAGGCAUGCAAGUCGAGCGAGAAGUGUAGCAAUACACGGAAAGCGGCGGAAGGGAGAGUAAUACGUGGGAAUCUGCCCUUAGACCUGGGAUAGCAGCGGGAAACUGCUGGUAAUACCAGAUAAUGUCUAUGGACCAAAGGUGUGAUUCCGUCUAGGGAGGAGCCCACGUCCUAUUAGCUAGUUGGUAAGGUAAUGGCCUACCAAGGCGAUGAUGGGUAGCGGGUGUGAGAGCAUGACCCGCCUCACUGGGACUGAGACACUGCCCAGACACCUACGGGUGGCUGCAGUCGAGAAUCUUCGGCAAUGGGCGCAAGCCUGACCGAGCGAUGCCGCGUGCGGGAUGAAGGCCUUCGGGUUGUAAACCGCUGUCGAGGGGGAGCAACUUCCAUAGAGUUAUCUUUAUGGAUUGAGUGAUCCCUGGAGGAAGGACGGGCUAAGUUCGUGCCAGCCGCCGCGGUAAGAC
rnacentral:rRNA from 1 species